rnacentral:rRNA from 1 species
UACAGAGGGUGCAAGCGUUGUCCGGAAUUAUUGGGCGUAAAGAGCUCGUAGGCGGUUUGUCGCGUCUGCUGUGAAAACCCGAGGCUCAACCUCGGGCCUGCAGUGGGUACGGGCAGACUAGAGUGCGGUAGGGGAGAUUGGAAUUCCUGGUGUAGCGGUGGAAUGCGCAGAUAUCAGGAGGAACACCAAUGGCGAAGGCAGAUCUCUGGGCCGUAACUGACGCUGAGGAGCGAAAGCAUGGGGAGCGAACAGG